UACGUAGGGUGCGAGCGUUGUCCGGAAUUACUGGGCGUAAAGAGUUCGUAGGCGGUUUGUCGCGUCGUUCGUGAAAACUUGGGGCUUAACUCCAAGCGUGCGGGCGAUACGGGCAGACUUGAGUACUGCAGGGGAGACUGGAAUUCCUGGUGUAGCGGUGGAAUGCGCAGAUAUCAGGAGGAACACCGGUGGCGAAGGCGGGUCUCUGGGCAGUAACUGACGCUGAGGAGCGAAAGCGUGGGGAGCGAACAGG
rnacentral:rRNA from 1 species